rnacentral:rRNA from 1 species
UACGGAAGGCAGCAGUGGGAAUAUUGCACAAUGGGCGCAAGCCUGAUGCAGCCAUGCCGCGUGUAUGAAGAAGGCCUUCGGGUUGUAAAGUACUUUCAGUCGUGAGGAAGGUGUUAAGGUUAAUAACCUUAGCAAUUGACGUUAGCGACAGAAGAAGCACCGGCUAACUCCGUGCCAGCAGCCGCGGUAAUACGGAGGGUGCGAGCGUUAAUCGGAAUUACUGGGCGUAAAGGGCACGCAGGCGGUUAAUUAAGUUGGAUGUGAAAUCCCCGGGCUUAACCUGGGAAUGGCAUUCAAGACUGGUUAGCUAGAGUCUUGUAGAGGGGGUAGAAUUCCAUGUGUAGCGGUGAAAUGCGUAGAGAUGUGGAGGAAUACCGGUGGCGAAGGCGGCCCCUGGACAAAGACUGACGCUCAUGUGCGAAAGUGUGGGGAGCAAACAGGGAUUAGAUACC